rnacentral:misc_RNA from 1 species
GAAAAACUUAUGUUGUUCAAGCUGGCAGAUAUGAUGGUCUCUGUAUUAUUAACAGGAGGGCCUUUGCAAGUUCUUCCAGCAGGGAGGCAAGGCAAGACAUUUAAAGAGAUAGCUAUGAAAAUAUGCCUAGUAAUAUUUUUGGGAACGUUUAUAGGGUGCUGUGGAGUUGCUAAGCUUUUUAAAGAAGCAGUGAAGUUUAAGGCAGCAGUUGCAUUGCGUAGUUCAGGAAGAGUUGGAGAAGGAA